rnacentral:tmRNA from 1 species
GGGGGCGUUUUGGGAUUCGACGGGGGUGUUACGUGCAUCAGUAGCGAGCCAAGGGGCCGCGACCUUGUCUAACGCGGAGCUAAAUGUAAACGGCAAACAACAAGAACAACUCGCUCUGGCUGCUUAAUCAGAGCGGCUCCAUCCCGCCAUCGCCCAUGUGGCGGACAUGGGGCUCAACCCGAGUGGGCUAGCCUGACAGUUCUGUUCCCGACUGUGAGGCGAAAUCAAGGGAACUCGUCCUGCGAAAGGCCUGUCACUGGGCAUUUCCAGGAUUAAACCCAAUACAGUGACUGCGCUCGGAGAAGCUGAUGUGAACGUUGCCUCCGGACAGGGGUUCGACUCCCCUCGCCUCCAA